CUAAUAGGCAUGUAAAGGUAAAUAAUUGGGGUUUUAAUCUACAUUUUCUUAAUGAUUAAUGAUGUUGAGCAUCUGUUCCUGUGCUUAUAUGCCAUCCAUGUAUCUUCCGUGAAGUGUCUAUUCAAACCUUUUCCCACUUUUUAAAUUGGGUUAUUUUUUUUAUUGUUAUUACUGAGUUGUGAGCAUACCUGCAUGAGUGUGUGUGCAGCGAGUUUUACUGUAUGUAAAAUAUAAUAUAUAGGUAUAGGUUUUGUGUUUAUUUUCUCCUAGUCUCUAACUUUUAUUUGCUUAAAUAUGUCUUUUGUAGAGGAGAAUUUUUUAAAAUGUUGAAAUCAAACUCUCUCUUUUUUUUUUUUUUUGCCUUGAUGCAGUUGCUAUAAACCACCUACAAUGUUGAAUAGAAGUGGUGAAAGUGGAUAUCCUUGACUUUUCCCUGAUACUAGGGGAGAACCUUCAUUCUUUUACCAUUAAGCAUGCUGUGAGAGGUGUUUUGAGAGGUUUGGGGAUUCGACUGGAGAUGUAAAAGAAACUUUCCACUCCAAACAAAUGGACUGAAGAGAUUAAAGUUAAGCAUUUGCGUGUUAAUCUACCAGGUUAUUCAACUUAAAUAAUAGGUAAUAAUCAGAAAAAUGGGGAAAGAAAUUGUCUUCUUCCAAGUAACUUUGCCUUUUAACUUUUAAUAUUGCUUUUUUUUAUCCCCUUAGCUGCUAAUCUGCCAUGCCAAUGGCUAUCAACAAAAUUAGAACCCUGCAUAUAACCCCAAAGUUGUAUACUAAAAUACAUUAUUUUAUGAUUAUAUCACAGGGCAAUGUGUUCAAAUCUAGAAAAGAAGAGAAAAAAUUAUAUUAUCAUGACCUCAAGUAAAGCCAAAUAACUCUGAGGACGCUGGGGGUACCAACGAAUGACAGGUGGUGGAGGUCUAUCUUUAUGGCCUUUCGCUAACUUGGACCUGAGAAUAAGCCCUAAUUGAUCUCUUACUUCCAUUUUUUCCAGUUGUGAUAGAAGAUUAGAUGUUUUGAAAUAAACAAUAAAUGGUAGAACUUCAACCAAGUACCACAUAAAGCACAUGAUGCUGGUAAAUCUCUGUGCGAUAGUCACGUUCAUUACUAUGUAGAAUUAUCGAUUGUAUGUAAACAAUAAAUCACCUAGUUAAGAAUAAUUUCACUGUACCAUAUUGGGAGUAUGUUGAAAAAAGACUUUUGUUUUGUAUAAAGUUGACCUAGUUGUAGACCGGUGUUGCUGAUUGAGUGGUCUCUAUAAAUCAGUGAAUAUUUUUCCUCUACCAUGGCCUGUGGAACGCACUCUAGGUUAAAACCUUCAGUGGCUUGUCACUGACUGCAGCAUAGAGCCCAAGAUACGUGGUUAGAUAGUCAAGACUGUUAUCUGCCUUUUUAAUGAUCAGCUUUUGUUAUUCCUCGCAUGAAUCUUUAAUUCUAACCAAAUGAUGUCUUCAUAAAUCCCUCUACACUCAUCACGUUUUAUCUCUAACUUUCCCUUCCUUCUAAAUUUUUUCAAGUAUCAAUCUCUUAGCACA